rnacentral:rRNA from 1 species
UACGUAGGGGGCGAGCGUUGUCCGGAUUCAUUGGGCGUAAAGCGCGCGUAGGCGGCUCCGCAAGUCGGCCGUGAAAUCUCCGGGCUCAACUCGGAGGGUCGGGCGAGACUGCGGGGCUCGAGGUGGGCAGAGGGCAGUGGAAUUCCGGGUGUAGUGGUGGAAUGCGUAGAGAUCCGGGAGGAACACCAGGUGGCGGAAGGCGGCUGCCUGGGCCUGGCC